CAUUGGCUGCAGGGCGCGCGGCGCAGCUGUUCUGAUUAUCAUAUUUCAGCCUCGCCGCCGCUGAGCGCCACUGACCGCUCGGCGAGCCAGCGGGAGAGGAUUAGGGCUCCCGAGGCAACUUGCUCGGGGCUCAGGCCGUUCUCCCCCGAAGCUCGGGCUGCCGGGCUGUUCUGGCUCUGGCCUCCCUCUCCUCCUCUUCCUCUUCCUUCUGUCCCCUCCCGCGUUCCUUCCCGGCCGCGCCGCCUGCGCCCUCGCCUCCUGUGGCGCUGCUCCUCCGCCCUGCGCUCCUGGGGUCCCCGCAGUCCGGCUGGCCGCGUUGCGCGCGGGGCUCACUUUCUGCCGCCGGUGGCGAGUGGCUGAACUCCUAAGUGACCAGGAACAGACGAUUUUUAACCGAGUUCUGCUGCGUGGAGCCCAGGUUGGCGCUAGUGAGUGCAGUGUGCUGACCCAAGUGGUGGUGGCCCAAGGACGCGCUGACCCGUACAUUUGGCAAAGCUUUCAUUAAAUGUAUCAGAUUCUCGCGGAAGUGGUUGCAGUCCGGAGAGUGAAACAGCUAUCUCUCAAGUCCUGACCGGUUCAGCUGAAAUCUACAUUUGCACUGAAUCUGGCAAAACACGGACGGGUCCGCCCGAGAUCUCAGGAAACCCAGAGCAAGUUACCUCCAUGUAGUUGAUCAUUCUUUCUGAAAGGACGGACACCAUUUACCCCACUGCAAUCCUGUCCAACGGGCAGCUCUGAGUUUAGCUUUAGCGCCAAAGGAUUGAUUUCCCCCACCCGCUGGAGAUUUACUGGGGACGAGCGGGGGAGGGGAGGCGAAGGUACCUCGGAGGAGGUCAAGUGGGGGAGGAGGAGGAGCAGCAGAAAAUUACCAGCCAAGCAGGGGAGGGAGUUGGAAGCCCGGAAAUAUACCAGGAUGCCUCAAGUAACCUUCCUUUAAGUCUCAGAAUUCAGCCCUCGGAAAACAGCCUCAUAAGGUGUCCUGGGAAGGAGUCCUCGGGUGGGCUGCGGAGGUGAUGUCAAGAGUUACAGCUACUUUAUGAAUUAAACUGACGGCUAAGGCAUGUCGGGACAGUUUAGUGUAAGCUGAAUGGUGCGUGGACGGGGCAACUUUUAAAGAGAGGUGGGCAAUCAUUGGUGGCAUCUACCAGUAUAUUCUGCAUGUAACAGUAGUUUGGAAGCUGAAGAAAAACCCCUCAAAUCCCAGUAAAUGCCCGGUCAGUUCGAGAGAGAUUUUAGGGACAAUUUUGAAGGUCGCUGUCUGCUCCAACUCCGCAGAGAUGAACAAGAGUGUGAACUCUGGCGCGGGUGUGUUUAGAAUUAUCUACGACUUCAGAUCCAUGCUGUUGAAACUCAUCAAUUCUUUGUGACUUCACGUGGAGAGAAGAAUUUGCCCUGCCUCCCUACCUGCUAAAUGCCGACUGAGAAAAGGGGCCCAGGAGACGACCCCUUUCAGAAAGAACGUCACUUCAUCAACUCGGCUGAGUUAUUAACUUGCUCCCCGAAAGGUCAACAACGCCUUCUCUUCUCAGCCGCACCGCGCGGAGAUCAAUCGCUUUACCCUAGGUAGCCUCUUGUUCAGGGCUCAGGAACUCCUGUCUUAAGGUCCUUCUGGGGCUCAGAAGCUGUGUUGUGUAUGUUCUUUCCAAGAAUCCCACCUGUCUGCUUUCAAGCACACACGGCGCUAGAAAUUUAGCCUAGCCUGAGUCCUGGGAUGAGAGAAGAGCUAAACAAAGAGACCCCAACCGUCCCCUUGGCCCCCUGCCCCGCCGUUUUGCAGUUUGCCAACCUUCUAGCUAGACAGCCCCCUAAGUCUCCGUGUUGCGAGUGAAAGAGAAUUUUUCUAUUUCAUCUUCCCAUUGACCGAAGCAGAAAAAUUGAACCGAAUCUACGCCCCUUGUUCUGAUUCCUGCUAGAGGAAAACAGAAAAUCAUCCCGCAGGUCUCUUUCAGUCCCUGGAUGGCGAGCGCAGCCCCUGGGAGGCCACACUUAGUUCUUUAUUGUGAAUCUCUCGCUACUCAAGUUCGUUCGGGACCAGGGCCUCGGAUGGCCUCGGUUGCCCGUAAGUACGCGAAAGAAGAGGUGAAUCCAAUCGCUGGCCUAGAGGAUAGUGAUCAGACAACCCGAGGAUUACUAAACAAGGGGCGGCGGUGUCCCUGUCUCAUGGGGUUGGCGUGGGGCGGGGGGUAGGCAGCAAGAUCCUCCAGGCUCCUGGAUGCAAAGAGUGAGAAAGAAAGCGCAGCCUCUGGCAGCCUGCUUAUAAAUGCAGCCUUUCGGAAGAUGAAACUUGCAGUCUUAGGUUGUCCUCCUUUAUAUCCAUGUUCCAAUCCUCUGGGCUUUCCUCGAAAUGAAUAAAAUUGUGGAAAUGAAUGAAUGAGAAUAUCA
rnacentral:lncRNA from 1 species